UUUUUUACCUGGCAGGGAAGAUACCAUGAUCACCAAGGUGGUUUUCCCAGGAUGAGGUUCAUCUAUUGCACUGCGGGAGUGUUGAGUCCUGUGGUUUCCCCCAAAGGCAGGAAACUCAACUGCUGAAUUUGUGGUAGUGGGUGACUGUGUUUGCAUUUUCCCCUG